rnacentral:lncRNA from 7 species
UGAACUGAUUAUUUGCUGUUGCCUUUCUCUAUGAGAGCCAGACUAUUUUUCUCUCUCUACUGGGGAAGGAUGCAAAAGCUGUUUAUGAGUUGGUUUUCGCUGAAGAAUGUGUAUGUGACAUUGCAUGUUACCAGGAGGUGAAAUUAACGUAGAAACGAAAUAUUAACCAAAGAAGACCAAAGGGAAGGGAGGACAACAGAGGAAGAAAGAAGAGGAAAAAAAAUAAAAUAAUGGAGGAAAAAAGCCAAAGCAAACUGAGGGUAGCUGUUAUGAAGAAUGUCCUCUUGAGAUGCCUUAGAUUUGGACCUGCUCUGUGAUCAUCUGCUCACUGGUUUGAGUCUUCUAAGUUCAAGUAUGCAGUGAGCCAUCUGUGAAGAGUGCUGCUUAGCAGGACACUGAGGCUUCCUUUUAUUCAGGAGUUUGCAGCACAGGAGGUCUCCAGGUGUGGAAGUAGGACUCAUAAAUCCCUGUGCUGCUUGCUUCUAAAAUGUGUUACUUAAGAAGUAGAAUUUGGCUGAUUAGGAUGGAAAGAUCAUUUGAGUAAAUGAAUGGCAUGUUCUGGAUUACUUUCCUCUUCAGCUCCUCAAGCAGUGCUUGCUGACCAAAGUGCAUUAAAUAACUGCAUAAAAUAUUUGUGGACUGACUCUCAGGCACAGCAGCAAAAACUGACAUUAAAAAAAAAAGGAAAAGAGGGACUUACUGAAAAAUCCUUUUCUGCUGUAAAAUGGUGGUGCUACCUCAGUACUAACGUAGGCAUUUUCAAUUCAUGUUGAUGUGAUAGCUGUAUUUGUUAAUAGAUGCUUCAUGAGAUUUUUUUCUUGCAUAAUAGCUCUCUUCAGCUUCAAAUCUCUCUGAACUCCGGAGAGCAGUGAUAGUGAAAGUGUACAAACCUAGAAAACGAGUUCACAGAACUGGUGGCUCCACCAGGACAAUGGAAAACAGCUGUUAAAACUUGAGGUCAUGCCUACUAGGAAGUCUGAGGCAAAACUGUUGUCACUUUGGGAGGGGGCGAUCACUGUUUAGGGGCGGUGUGUAGGGGGAUGUUGAUCUCUCAGAAGUCAGGUUUCUGCAGCAGUGCUGACUUUGUUUAGGGCAAUCGGCCAGUUAACUAAGUUCUAUAUGCACUGGGUAGUAGGUCCUACUUCUGGUUUCCAUCAGAUGAAACUCUGAUGUUGAGAGGCAGGUGACUAGCUUGAAGAGCUUCCCCGAAGUGAAGAUGUGGUCUGAGAGAACCUGACAGAAAAAGUAGCUGAAGACUAAGAACAGAAUCUUGUUAUCUUAACUCCCUCGCAUUUGUUCUAAAUCUUUACAAGGUUUUUCCUACAAACACUGACAAAAGGUUAUUCCUUUUCUAAGGGAAUUAAAAUUAACUAUUAAAAGUAGAAGGGAGGAAUAAGUCUACAGUCAGUUACCCUCCACUUCUAUCUGCCUACAUCAUGUUCUUAGGAUUAGUCUUGAACAGUUUUUCCAAAUCAGAAACCUUAAUCUUGUCUAAGUCUAAAACUGCAGUAAGGAGAAGAAAAACCAACCAAACUAACCCUACCUCUUGAUUGCUGUUUAGCUCUGGAGGCAUCAAAUUCUAGCUUUCACUGGCGUAAGUUCAGGUUCAGGCUGAAAACUAACCAUAGUACAUCUUGACCAGUAAUUGUAGUUUAGCCUGAUCUCAUCAAGAACAUUUCCUGGAUGGAGACAGUGGUAAACACUUUUCCACAUAAGGUUGGAGUGCACUAAGAAUUGGACUGCUCAGAAAACUCAUUAGUAACUGUUCUCUGUGAAGGGAGAAGGAGGAGGUAAAAGAAGAGCUGAUGACACCAUCUUUCAUGCUACAGACCACUGGUAGUGAACUCCAGGAUGCAGAUGAGCAACUUAAAUUUCCUUCUUGAAGGAACUGAUUCCAACCCACAACUUCCACUUAAUUUGUAAGGUAUGCCAAUAUUACCUGAUAAUUGCCUGUGUAGGACUGGGAAACUUGUUGUGGAAAAUGCAUAAACAGUUCAUAAGCUUGAAAUCCAUUUCCUAUUAGCCUUAGGUUAGGAGAUCUGUGGAUUGGCCACAGAUCUGGUUCUAAGGCACCUCAGUCAUGAGUUAUCUAGGAGGUCAAUAGCCUAACACAAUUCUGGAUUCCACUCUAGAGAUGAGACUACAAAAAAAACCCCCAACAUUUUAAAAACAUACCUAUUUUUUCCUGUCUUUGUGCAUUUUUGAAUGAGGUUUUUUCUCCUACUCAAAUGCGUUUAUGUAAGCAAGCUAUGUAUGUAUGCUGUGACCAACUGUUAACAAAAUCAAAUGAAGGAGAAGGUGAAGACUUGAGGAAAUCACUCCCUGUUUUAAGUGGUAAACAUAGCAGUCUUCUGGAUGCUCAGUAAAUGGUCAUCAUUUUUAUGUAUAAAAAUAGUAGAAC